rnacentral:misc_RNA from 1 species
GGGAGGGCAGUGGCUUUGACGGCAGACCCUGAUGAUGGGUUUCAGUUGGUGUGUGGUAAGAAGAAGAAAACUCCGAGUCAUGAAGACGAGAUGCAUGAUUCGAGUUUUGAGUCCAAUGUGAAGGUUGCUACCAAGGAUAGGAAAACUUUAGGGGUGAAGCCGAAAGUGCCAUUUCAUAUACCAACUAUCCGUAGACCGCAGGAUGAGUUUAAUAUUUUGGUUAAUAAUUCAAAUCAGCCUUUCG